UUUCUUUCUUCUUUUCUCUAUACGUUGGUGUUCUAACCAAUAAUCACCGAUGCGAUGCUCUGUCCGAUCGACUCAGGAACCAACUAACGGAUGCCAAAGUGCUAUACUUUGAGAGUUCGUUAAACGGAUGCUAAAGUAUUAUACUUUGAGAGUUCGUUAAAUGGAUGCCAAAGUACUAUACUUUGUGAUUUCGGUAAACGGAAUCCAAAGUGUUACACUUUGUGAAAUUCGUUAAGGUUCGAAUCUCGUGACUACCGUUAAGGUUUGAUUUGGGUUUUACACAAAUACGUAUUCCAUUCUGUUAAACUAUAUACCGAAAAUACUUCCCAACUACACACUCACAAUCAAACAAACUAAUAAAUCAUCAGAAGAUCCAGAAUAAUAAAGUGCAUGCUUAAUUAUCGGAAGAAGUAGAAUCAAGAAGUUGUUAACUCAAUCCUGCAUGCUGAUUUGGAUUAAGUCUUUGUAAUCACCAAGUUACAGCCGGUAUGUGGGGUUUUGUAUACAUUACUUGAUAAUCUUCAACAUUGGGGCAGCCAAUGGGUGAUAUGACCAUAAUCACAGACACCACUUGACAGGUGGGCCAGUUGGUCGAGUGACAAAGUACCGUGGGUAGUUGGUUUGAUAUCAGAAACAUUGUAAUCUCUCUUAAUACUGUGAAUUAUAACAAAUAUGUCGUUUUCAGUAAAAUGAAUGAUUCACUCAGUAUUUCCCGCUGACAAAACCUUUUUAAAACACGUUUCAGGUAAUUACAGUAGAUUGGAGUAAGGAUUAGAUCCAGCACUGAAGGACUUCAAGAAGUGGCUUAUUUUAUUAACUAAAUCAACUUAAGAAAUAUUGUUUUUGGGUUUAUCCCGUAUUAAAAGCUACCUUUGUAAAACAUGGAAUUUAUUCCAUCUAUUUAAAUAAAAUCCGGUGUUUCUAAACUCUGAUAUUUUUCCUAACUCACGGUCCUGAUGAAAUUUCCGCUGCAAUGUUUUUCAAAAUAAUCACCGGUACCACUUGACUGCUUACGGCUUCCGAUUCCGGCCAGGAUGGGGUCGGGGGUCGUGACAGUAAAGGUGGUAUCAGAGCUAAGCCACUGCUUUAAGCCUAUAAGUGUUGUGAUAACAAUACUUAAGCUUAAAUAAAAGAGUUAGGAGAUUGCUAUUAACUGGUAGCACAUCUGAUAGCCUUUAGACUUGAACAUAAGAAAAGAUGCCUUAGUAUAAGCUAAGCCACUUGUUUAAGGAAUUAGGUGUUGUAAUAAUACCUAAGUUUAAACGGAGAAUUAGGAACUUAAUAGUAUCUGGUAGCACUCAGAAUAAUAUUUAGACUUGAACUUAAGAAUUUUGCCUUAAUAUAAGCUUCAAGAUAAAUUUCCUAUAUAAGUAUAUGGUGAUAAACAUUGGUAUAAUUAUAAGAAUGACAAUUAGCAGGUAAUAGCACUUAAUUGCUAUUUAUUCUUGUUUAUCGAUAUUACCUGGUCUAGAAUAAAAUAUGAUAUGGAAAUACAAAUUUCCUUGAUUCUGGAUAAAAGCCCUAAAGAGGCACUGUUAAAAUCUUGAAAAGAUAUUGUUUACGGGAAAUAGAAAAUUUUCUCCGGCAAAACUGGGUAUAGAGUAGCAGACUCUCCAGCUUGUCCGGAUAUACUGAGAUUAUCGCUCCGGCGCGAACCGGAUAAGACGAGGUACAUAGUAUGUCAAACAAGUGACAAGACUUCCCUAAAUAAUAUCAUAAUUUGAUAUCUGAUUUGUUUUUGGAAAUAUGAAUCUGUUAGAUACAUUGACCUGAUAAAUGGUAUGUUUAUUUCAGCAUAUGAAAUAUGUGAUUAUAUAGAUAGGAUAUCUAUAAGGAAAUUCCAAAAACCUUAACGAUUGGUAAUUAAGAAUAAAACACAAGCAUAUGUGUCAAUAAUAAUUCCAGAUUUCUCUAUCAGAAAUCUAUCAUAUAUCUAUAAUUCUGAUGUCAAACAUUAUUUCAUUUGAUCAUUUGUCCCAUGUGAAAAAAUAAACAAUGGAAAACCCUUUAAGUUGAAACAC
rnacentral:lncRNA from 1 species